rnacentral:rRNA from 1 species
GGGGGGGGGGGGCAAGCGUUGUUCGGAUUUACUGGGCGUAAAGGGCUUGUAGGCGGGCUGUCUAUGUCGGGUUGUGAAAUCCCCAGGCUCAACCUGGGAACUGCAGCCGAAACUGGGUGGCUAGAAGCCGGGAGAGGGAUGCGGAAUUCCAGGUGUAGCGGUGAAAUGCGUAGAUAUCUGGAGGAACACCCGUGGCGAAGGCGGCAUCCUGGACCGGUCUUGACGCUGAGGAGCGAAAGCUAGGGUAGCAAACGGGAUUAGAUACCCCGGUAGUCCUAGCCCUAAACGAUGAAUGCUUGGUGUGGCGGGUAUCGAUCCCUGCCGUGCCGGAGUUAACGCGUUAAGCAUUCCGCCUGGGGAGUACGGUCGCAAGGCUG